UACGGGGGGGGCAAGCGUUGUUCGGAAUUACUGGGCGUAAAGGGCUCGUAGGUGGCCAACUAAGUCAGACGUGAAAUCCCCAGGCUCAACUUGGGAACUGCGUCUGAUACUGGAUGGCUUGAAUUCGGGAGAGGGAUGCAGAAUUCCAGGUGUAGCGGUGAAAUGCGUAGAUAUCUGGAGGAAUACCGGUGGCGAAGGCGGCAUCCUGGACCGAGAUUGACACUGAUGAGCGAAAGCUAGGGGAGCAAACGGG
rnacentral:rRNA from 1 species